GGUCCGCUGGCUCAAUGGCAGAGCGUCUGACUACGACCUCAAAGAAGUUAUCAGGAGGUUCCAGGUUCGACCCCUGGGUGGAUCG